GACGGAGGAUGCAAGCGUUAUCCGGAAUGAUUGGGCGUAAAGCGUCCGCAGGUGGCAGUUCAAGUCUGCUGUCAAAGACCGGGGCUUAACUUCGGAAAGGCAGUGGAAACUGAACAGCUAGAGUAUGGUAGGGGCAGAGGGAAUUCCUGGUGUAGCGGUGAAAUGCGUAGAGAUCAGGAAGAACACCGGUGGCGAAGGCGGGUCUCUGGGCAACAACUGACGCUGAGGAGCGAAAGCGUGGGGAGCGAACAGG
rnacentral:rRNA from 1 species